rnacentral:rRNA from 1 species
AUUGAACGCUGGCGGAAUGCUUUACACAUGCAAGUCGAGCGGCAGCGCGGGGCAACCUGGCGGCGAGCGGCGAACGGGUGAGUAAUACAUCGGAACGUGCCCAGACGUGGGGGGAUAACUACUCGAAAGAGUGGCUAAUACCGCAUACGAUCUAAGGAUGAAAGCGGGGGAUCGCAAGACCUCGCGCGUUUGGAGCGGCCGAUGGCAGAUUAGGUAGUUGGUGGGGUAAAGGCUUACCAAGCCCGCGAUCUGUAGCUGGUCUGAGAGGAUGAUCAGCCACACUGGGACUGAGACACGGCCCAGACUCCUACGGGAGGCAGCAGUGGGGAAUUUUGGACAAUGGGCGCAAGCCUGAUCCAGCCAUGCCGCGUGAGUGAAGAAGGCCUUCGGUUGUAAGACUCUUUCCUAGCCGGAAAGAAAACGACACGGUUAAGUAACCUAGUGUGGAUGACGGUACCGGAAGUAAGAAGACACCGGCUAACUACGUAGCCAGCAGCCGCGGU